AGAGUUUGAUUAUGGCUCAGGAUGAACGCUGGCGGCGUGCUUAACACAUGCAAGUCGAACGGAGAUUACUUUUAGCUUGCUAUUUGUAAUCUUAGUGGCGGACGGGUGAGUAACGCGUGGGUAACCUGCCUUAUACAGGGGGAUAACAGUCGGAAACGACUGCUAAUACCGCAUAAGCGCACAGUAUCGCAUGAUACAGUGUGAAAAGAUUUAUCGGUAUAAGAUGGACCCGCGUCUGAUUAGCUAGUUGGUGAGGUAACGGCCCACCAAGGCGACGAUCAGUAGCCGGCCUGAGAGGGUGAACGGCCACAUUGGGACUGAGACACGGCCCAAACUCCUACGGGAGGCAGCAGUGGGGAAUAUUGCACAAUGGGGGAAACCCUGAUGCAGCGACGCCGCGUGAGUGAAGAAGUAUUUCGGUAUGUAAAGCUCUAUCAGCAGGGAAGAAAAUGACGGUACCUGACUAAGAAGCCCCGGCUAACUACGUGCCAGCCGCUGC
rnacentral:rRNA from 1 species